rnacentral:ncRNA from 1 species
GAUAGAAGGGGUGCUCAGGUGUUUGCCGGGGCUGAGAUUAUACCCGAAACCUGAUGCGGAUAAUGCCGACGUAGGGAAACGCUAU